ACUACAUGUGCAUUUCCAGAGCUGCAGUUCCACGGGGAGCUCUCAGUUACCUGGGAACAGAGGCUGACUCCCACCUGGCUACACCCUCCUGUCAGGGACUUGCAGAGUUCCCGUGUCAUCGUUCCAUCCAUGGGCUUUGUGAUGACAGCAACUGCACGGUGUGAGAGCAGCAGCCAAAGAACUGGAGACACAGAAGGAGCAUCUGUCUGACUGUUGAAGGGUAAAGGAGCCCCUUUUCCUCAGAAGUGUUGAAAUAAAGAUGUUACUAUUUUUUAAA